rnacentral:rRNA from 1 species
CCUACGGGGGGCAGCAGUGGGGAAUAUUGGACAAUGGGGGCAACCCUGAUCCAGCCAUGCCGCGUGUGUGAAGAAGGCCCUCGGGUUGUAAAGCACUUUCAGUGAGGAAGAACGCCUGGUGGUUAAUACCCAUCAGGAAAGACAUCACUCACAGAAGAAGCACCGGCUAACUCCGUGCCAGCAGCCGCGGUAAUACGGAGGGUGCGAGCGUUAAUCGGAAUUACUGGGCGUAAAGCGCGCGUAGGUGGCUUGAUAAGCCGGUUGUGAAAGCCCCGGGCUCAACCUGGGAACGGCAUCCGGAACUGUCAAGCUAGAGGGCAGGAGAGGAAGGUAGAAUUCCCGGUGUAGCGGUGAAAUGCGUAGAGAUCGGGAGGAAUACCAGUGGCGAAGGCGGCCUUCUGGACUGACACUGACACUGAGGUGCGAAAGCGUGGGUAGCAAACAGGAUUAGAUACCCUAGUAGUC